ensembl:lncRNA
AUCCCCUUACACUGUGUAUGACAGUAUUAUUAUUAUUAUUUUUUUUUUUUUGGAAUUGUUAGUUAGAUUACUUGCUCGUUAUUACUGCAUUGUCGGAACUAGAAGCACAAGCAUUUCGCUACACUCGCAUUAACAUCUGCUAACCAUGUGUAUGUGACAAAUAAAAUUUGAUUUGAUUUGAUUUGGUGUUCAGGCUAACUAGAGGAGGGUUAGGGGAGGAGGGGGAGAGUGGUGGUCAGGCUAACUAGAGGAGGGUUAGGGGGAGGAGGGGGAGAGUGGUGGUCAGGCUAACUAGAGGAGGGUUAGGGGGAGGAGGGGGAGAGUGGUGUUCAGGCUAACUAGAGGAGGGGGGAGAGUGGUGGUCAGGCUAACUAGAAGAGGGUUAGGGGGAGGGGGAGAGUGAGUGGUGGUCAGGCUAACUAGAGGAGGGUUAGGGGGAGGAGGGGAGAGUGUGGUGGUCAGGCUAACUAGAAGAGGGUUAGGGGGAGGAGGGGGAGAGUGGUUGUCAGGCUAACUAGAGGAGGGGGGAGAGUGGUGGUCAGGCUAACUAGAGGAGGGGGGAGAGUGGUGGUCAGGCUAACUAGAGGAGGGGGGAGAGUGGAGGCCAAUGGGUGGCUAGGACACGGUCACACUCUGACAAGAGUUUUGGGAUGGGGGCUAAGGUGUAGAAAUGGAGGAGCGGAGGGGAUUUCAAACUGUGGCCCUGUGCUGUGACAACGACAGUGUGUGUGUGUGUGUGUUUGGUCUGAGUGCGUGUGUGUGUGAGCUGUCUUCCCUAAAGGCACAGCUUGGUCCCAGCUCCCGGCCCUGGGAUGCCAUGAUAGCACAGAGGGACGAGGGGAGUGUGAUUAAUCUGUAGCCCCC